AUAAGUGAAAUAUUUCAUAGUGCUCAGCAUUUUUAAACCUUUAUUCCAUUAUUAUGCAUCUUCUUGACAGCAGGCUAGGGAAGCUGAAAAUUCCACAGGUGAGUGAGUUAGUACUGUGACAAUUAGUCAUGCUGGAAGAAUGCCAGUUACCAGUAUAUUUGUCAUUAUGUGGCCUUGGUACAGGUGUGGGAUGACUGAUGACCAAUUAGGUAAUGACAGUUCUCUCUUCUCAUGGAUAGGAUAUAAGGGGACUGAGCGACCAUAUGGAGAAAAGCCCUCUAAAGACAUCUAUGCAUUUCUAGUAGUCGAGAUGGCACUGAAGUUGAUUCAGUGGAAAUUGCAUUUUUCUUCAUUUCCCGCAUUCUCUGUUACUUGCAUAGACAAAUCCUGCAGUGAAGAGUUACACGUCUGCGGCUGCACUCAGUGUGUGCCCCACGGUACUGGCAGGGAAGAGGGAUGCAGAGAAUGGAGGUGUCAGCUGUUUAAAAACUCCUAAAGGCCAUUUUAAAGAAAAAUCGAUCCCUAUGGAUGUUGUGUGCAAACUCUACAAGCUGUUGCCACUUGAAUAUUAAAUAUUAGUUCUUUUUAAUAUCACAGAUACCAAAAUGUCAAGUAUUUUACUUUUUUUUCUGCUUAGCUGGUAAUAAGCUUUUAAAGUGGUACAAAUUUAAGCACUGUCUCCAAGUAUGGUAGAACAUCAAUUUAGUUAUCAGCCAGCUCUUUUUGUAUCAACGUGGGGAAGCAAAAGAGAAUUGUGGACAGCUUGUCUGUGAGCCCCGUCAGGGACAGUAACCCUGGGGGACAUACUGUUCAUCCAUGAAGAAUUCCCCGAAUUCCGCCUGGAAGAGAUUCUACUCUAGCAAAAGGGAUUAUAGCAGGAGCAGAGAACUGGGGCCUAAUCCAGUGCUUUGGCCGCUGCCCACCAUAACCAACCUCCACCACGCUCACUGCCCUCACUGCACUCCAGCCACAGAAAUGGGACCAGACACGCGUGAACGUCUUGCCACAAGACACAUGCCACGGCUCCUGGGUUCAGCACAUCCAAAGGUAAUCCAGCACUUAGAGUUUGAUUUGACUAUAAAAACAAGUCUGCACAAAAUCAGUCUGAAACCAUCACAAAAAGAAGCAAACUUUAAAACUCUAUCAAAUUUACAUCAUGAACUCUUCCUUUAA
rnacentral:lncRNA from 1 species